rnacentral:rRNA from 1 species
AUUGAACGCUGGCGGAAUGCUUUACACAUGCAAGUUGAACGGCAGCACGGGUGCUUGCACUUGGUGGCGAGUGGCGAACGGGUGAGUAAUAUAUCGGAACGUGUCCAAUAAUGGGGGAUAACAUAUCGAAAGAUGUGCUAAUACCGCAUACGCCCUACGGGGGAAAGCUGGGGAUCAUAAGACCUAGCGUUGAUGGAGCGGCCGAUAUCGGAUUAGCUAGUUGGUGGGGUAAAGGCUCCCCAAGGCGACGAUCCGUAGCUGGUCUGAGAGGGCGGCCAGCCACACUGGAACUGAGGCACGGUCCAGACUCCUACGGGAGGCAGCAGUGGGGAAUUUUGGGCAAUGGGGGCAACCCUGAUCCAGCCAUUCCGCGUGAGUGAAGAAGGCCUUCGGGUUGUAAAGCUCUUUCGCAAGGGAAGAAAACUUACAUUCUAAUAAAGUGUGAGGUUGACGGUACCUUGAUAAGAAGCACCGGCUAACUACGUGCCAGCCGCCGCGGUAACAC